rnacentral:rRNA from 1 species
CGUAGGGGGCAAGCGUUGUCCGGAUUUAUUGGGCGUAAAGAGCGUGUAGGCGGCCAGGCAGGUCCGUUGUGAAAACUGGAGGCUUAACCUUCAGACGUCGAUGGAAACCGUCUGGCUAGAGUCCGGAAGAGGAGAGUGGAAUUCCUGGUGUAGCGGUGAAAUGCGCAGAUAUCAGGAAGAACACCCGUGGCUAAGGCGGCUCUCUAGUACGGUACUGACGCUGAGACGCGAAAGCGUGGGGAGCGAACAGGAUUAGAUACCCUGGUAGUCCACGCCGUAAACGAUGGGUGCUAGGUGUGGGGGGUGUCGACUCCCUCCGUGCCGAAGCUAACGCAUUAAGCACCCCGCCUGGGGAGUACGGCCGCAAGGCUA